GAUGAACGCUGGCGGCGUGCCUAAUACAUGCAAGUCGAGCGAACAGACGAGGAGCUUGCUCCUCUGACGUUAGCGGCGGACGGGUGAGUAACACGUGGAUAACCUACCUAUAAGACUGGGAUAACUUCGGGAAACCGGAGCUAAUACCGGAUAACAUGUUGAACCGCAUGGUUCAACAGUGAAAGACGGUCUUGCUGUCACUUAUAGAUGGAUCCGCGCCGCAUUAGCUAGUUGGUAAGGUAACGGCUUACCAAGGCAACGAUGCGUAGCCGACCUGAGAGGGUGAUCGGCCACACUGGAACUGAGACACGGUCCAGACUCCUACGGGAGGCAGCAGUAGGGAAUCUUGCGCAAUGGGCGAAAGCCUGACGGAGCAACGCCGCGUGAGUGAAGAAGGUCUUCGGAUCGUAAAACUCUGUUAUUAGGGAAGAACAAAUGUGUAAGUAACUAUGCACGUCUUGACGGUACCUAAUCAGAAAGCCACGGCUAACUACGUG
rnacentral:rRNA from 1 species